GCAAGAGUGGCAUAGUGGUUUGAGUGUUGGACUACAACUCUGGAGACCAGGGUUCGAUUCCCAGCUCAGUCA